UACGAAGGGGGGCUAGCGUUGUUCGGAAUUACUGGGCGUAAAGGGCGCGUAGGCGGUGUGUCAAGUCAGGCGUGAAAGCCCCGGGCUCAACCUGGGAACCGCGCUUGAGACUGGCACGCUCGAGUUCGGGAGAGGAUGGUGGAAUUCCCAGUGUAGAGGUGAAAUUCGUAGAUAUUGGGAAGAACACCGGAUGGCGAAGGGCAGCCAUCUGGACCGACACUGACGCUGAGGCGCGGAAAGCGUGGGGAGCAAACAGG
rnacentral:rRNA from 1 species